AAAAAAGCAAUGAUCAAAAUCGUCCCCUACUUCCUCGUAGUUAAUGUCCUUGUAACUUUUUCAAAUCAGACUCACCUUGAGAAGCAUAUUAAAGAUUAGGAAUUUAAAUAACAUAAUAAAUCAUUCAGUACCAAUAAACAGAAGCAUGGCCUGCAUUAUUUGGUUUCAAAAUUUCAGCUGACUCUGAAUGCCAAGGAUGAAUGCAUGUACCAUGUUGCAGAGCAAUCGAUGGAGCUAUUGUCCCUUCUCUCACUUAAAGAGCAAUGUAAAUUUCCACUGGAUAGUAUUUUCAAUGUCAGUGGGAGUGGGAAUACAUUUAGCCAUUUUAUUUUGGUCAUGUUUAGCACUCUGUUUCUUACGUACUAGUGCUCCAGGAAACCACCCAGAUGGCCUUCCUUGUUAAAGGAGCUCCUAAGCAGGUAUGAGUUACUUUGAAUGCAACUACUCAGCCAUAAAAAAGAACAAAAUAAUGCCAUUUGCAGCAACAUGAAUGGAACUAGAGACUCUUAUACUGAGUGAAGUAUAUCAGAAAGAGAAAGACAAAUAUCAUAUGUUAUCACUUAUACAUGGAAUCUAAAAUAGGGCACAAACGAAGCUAUCUACAAAAUAGAAACCAACUCACAGACAUAGAGAACCGACUUGUGGUUGCCAAGAGGGAGCGGGGGAGAGAGGGAUGGACUGGGAGUUUGGGGUUAGUGGAUGCAAACUAAUACCUUUAGAAUGGAUGGACAAUGAGGCCCUAAUAUAUAGUACAGAGAACUAUAUCCAACCUCUUGGAUAGAACAUGAUGGAAGAUAAAAUGAGAAAAAGAAUGUGUUAUGUAUAUAUAAUUAUGUAUAAUUAUUUAUAUAUAAUAUAUGUAUAUGAAUGACUGGGUUACUUUUCUGCACAGCAGAAAUUGACACGACAAUGUAAAUCAACUAUACUUUAAUACAAAAACAUAAAAUAAAAUUGAGUUCCAAGUGGGGAAGGCAUAGUUAUCAGACAACACCACGGGUUAAUAGUAGAGUGGAUCCCAUGUUUCUCUAGUGGCAUUAACCUGGUCAAUAAAUCCAUAGGUAUACCAGGAAACUGUCUUCAUGACAUAAAUUAAGGGGCUGACUCACCUCCAUCAACAGACUAAUGCCUAAAAAGCCCCCAUCGAAUUUCUGAGUGAGAACAGAAAUGGCAAGUUGGUAGUACUAUAUAUAUAAUGUAUUAUGUAUAUGCAUAUAUUUUAAUCCUUAUUUGAGAUUAGAUUGAAAAAUAGGCAGAGAAUGGAGCAUGAUUACCCUGGAGAUUGAGGAGCUGGGGUGAACACCAUAAGAGACAAGAAGUUCGGGGGAAAAAAUAAGUUAACAAGCUCUGGAAAUGGGCUUUUCCUAAUCCAAAAUUGAGGAUAGAGAAGGCAACUCUGUAUGUACAUGUAAAUCCCACCUGGAGAAAAAGUCAAAGAGAAAUUAUUUUUUAGAAAUGUUAUGAAUUUAUAAAAGUUUGAAAACUGGGUAGUUCAGAAAAGUUCUAGAACAAGAACCUAUAUGGCAGUUUCAGUGGGCGUUAUCCAUCUGCCACCCCAAAGAGAGAGGUAUGACAAUAGAGAAAAGAAAAGGGAUAAAGGAAAGAGAAAAUAUAAGAUCAAACAGAGACAAAUACAAUAAUGCAUAGUUGAAAGAAAUGUGCUAAUAACAGUGCUUUCCUGGCCUCUCCCGGGCGCUCUACUACAUCUGCCCUAGUGCUGACCAUCUCCAUCUGAACCAAUUCAGUUGCCUGCUCCCAAGCAGUACCUUUGCCUCCAGCUUCAGCCUAACACUGAUGUCCAGCUCAUCCCUCAUCACUUACUCAUCACUCAUCCCUCCUCUUGAACUCACCAAAGCUAACUCACUCCCACUUAUCUUUCAAAGACCAGGUUAGUUGUUAUCUCAUCCAGGAAGCUUUCUCUGAUCCCUCAGUCUGUCUUAGAAGCCCCUCCUCUGUGUUGAUAGUGCCUAGGUUUAUUUAUAUCUACAACCAUAAAAACACAUUAUUGUACAAACUCUGAUUCACUUGUCUGUCUUCCUAAUUAGAUUAAGAACAACUUGAGGGCAGGCACUCCGUCUUCUUUUCCUUGAUAUCCUCCACUCUUACCACAAGGCAUGGCACAUAGUACCAACUCACUGAAUAUUUCCUGAAUAAAAGAAUAUUCCUAAUGUUAAGCCUGACAACAGGUUUAACAUACUUUUCGGUUGGCAAAUUCUCUGGGCCAUGAUAUAGUGAAUGUCCAAAUUAUUUUAUUUGUUAUAGUUCUCCAUGGUAGGAGUCCAGGCUGUCUUUCUUGAACCAGGUAGCCUGGAUAAGUAGAUGUUUCCAUCAUAAUUGAACACUUCACAUAAAUUAUCUGAAUAUUCAGCCCAACCAAUGGGGACUCCCCUAAGGCAUUUCCACCACAGAUGAGCCAGAGUGACAUAAUGCUGUCCAUCAACAAAAGCCCAAACAAGCUGGGCAACACACAAGGUGUGGCCUUCAAACAUGAUGAUGAAAUAGGGCCAUAAUGCUUCAGGAAAUCAUCAUGCCCAUUUCACAGCAAAGCACCUGAGUCAUUUGUCAGCCACUAUUGGCUUAUGAAGAGGGUAGGAGGCAUCCAGACAAUCCAAGCUGGACUAAGUGCCCUGUGUAAGUUUCAGCAGAAUACUAUCUGAAAAACUCUGAUGAGAAAAGAACUUUCUCCCCUACUCCUACUCCAGCCUUCCCCACAUAUAUCCUAUCAUUGUGUUAUCUUGUAGCACACAGUUCUAUGUGAGGGAAUUAAGUUUAUUUUGAUAACCUAGAGAAAGUUCAUUUACCUGGCCCCAGGGAACAGUUACAAGUGGAGAUCAGGAGUGGGGUAUAAUUUUUCAGUAUAACUUAAAGUCUCCCUAAGGGAAAACAGGGGCUAAGAGAGGUCCCAAAUGACCAGCCAGGGUGCUAUUGACAUAUAUGUGUUAGCUGACUAUGACCAAGAAAAGAAUCCACUUCUCAGGGGCCUCACUCAGGAGAGGCUGAAAGUUAGUGCUGGAAAGUCAACUCUGAACUCUGAACAUGAACACUUCUUCAUUUAAGAUCCCAACCCUUAACAGGUAGAAACAAAUGUGCUUACGUUUCCCAUAGCAUAGCUUCUAUGUUCACACCCAGAGCCUUUGUGCAGGCCGUUGACUUGCUAACUUAUCUGCCAAACCCAACCUUUUUCAUCUGUAAAAAUCCACUGAAGAUGCCAACUCCCUUUUGAGUCUUUUCUUAUUCCCUAGCCAGGUCCGAUUACUUUCACCCUCAAAAUCCUGAUGAAUAUCCAUUCAACACUCACGUCUUUAUGCCCUGCAAUACAGUCUUCUGUUCAUAUCUUCCUCACUUCUGGACUGAGCUCCUUGAGGACAGAGAACACUUCCAUUUCAUCUCUUUGCCCUGCUGCUCCCUACAGAAUAGGGCCUGUCUAAAAGUAGGGACUCUCUUCCCAACAGUCACACUCCAUCCUAGCCAGGAGUGAUAUUCUGCAUAUUGACUUCCAGAUGAAUAACAUUCAUGAAGAAAAUUAAUAAAGGAGAAAAUAACCCUCUGACUCAAGGCCAAGUUCGCCACUCUUCCCAGGAGUCACAGAAGUGUUUAUAAGGCAGUCAUGAUAUUAAAUGGCCAGUCAGCCCUGUAACAAUCACUGCUUCUACCCUUCAAAAUGUGCUUCCUUUCAAUAAUAACAGAGGGUAAGUCUGGACAAUGCCACUCUACACAAAAAUGGAAAAUAAAGAUUUUUUUGUACUUAGUCCUGUUGGAUCAAAGUAUUUGGAUGAACAUCCAAGCCAUUCCUAAAGAGAGACAGAAGGAUGUGUUGGAAGAAACAUAGUAUCUAGGGACAAAGAGUUAUGCCGGCUUUUUUUUUUUUUUUUUAACCACUUACUUCUUAAUUUUGGCAUCCAAGUGUUUUUUUUUUUUUUCUUUACUAAUAAAUGUAGUAAAUACAAUUGAUUUUCUCUGUGUAUAACCCUUGCCUUAUUCUGUUUGUAUGUUUCACUCUUCUUAUUGCUAAUUUUUGAGCAGUAUAUCAUUUCAUUUUAAUUUGUUCUCUGUCCAAGUGUUACUUGGGAGAGUUGGUUUUGUUUUAGUACAGUUUAUCAUUAUUGUGGACUGGAAGUUUUGGUUAACUUUUAUUAUUAUUUUUAGUUUUCUUUACAUGAUGAUGUUGAGAGAGCCAUAUUCUUUCUUCUGGAUCUUUGAAAGGUGGUUCUGAAUUAGUGAGUGAAAAAUAGUGCUCAUAACCCACUAUGACAAGAAGACACUACAAACAUCUGUCAACCCCACCUACAUUUGCUUUAGCCAUUUCAGUUCGGUCUUUAGGCUGUUAAAGUAGAAACAGUUUAUACAGAAUAGGGAAAGGCCAGACUCAUACAAAAGGGAUGUUUAGCCGCAAAAUUGACCAAUGAAAAUACUAGAAGCUUUAUAAAUUUCUAUCAUUUAAAACUUUUGAACAUUCUUAGCAAAGAAUGUCAACAAUAUCACAUGUAGAUGUGACUGCAAGAUAUUAUUAUUUUGUUCAUGAAAAUCAACAUGUCAUGAUUUUUUCAGUAUUAUUGCUUCCUUAUUCUUUCUCUUUCUUCUCCAGUAGACUGACUUUCUCUCUUUCAUAGUCUAUUUGGUUCUGGCAUCAUAACUUUUUCAAAUAACAUUUGAAACCCAGCGACUUCCUAACAGGCUCAUCUAACUGUGUAUUUAUGUGAGCCACCUUUCAUCUGAGCAGCUCAGGCUGUCUCAAAGACAUUAAUUCAUGGUUCUUCUGGAACAUACUCAGUAAGUCAUAAUUAUAUUCACUCCGAAUGGAGGACUGCUCAGAAUGCUGAUGACUAAUGGAAACUUACCCAAGAAACUGGAUGAACUGGAUUGAAAUUCAACGUUUCUGACUUCAACAGCCUAGGCUUCACAUUAGACAUUACAAUUUUCCCUAUAAGUUUAGAAUCAUUGUUUUCUUUUUGAGUUGGCAAAAAUCUUAAUGUUUAUCAUUGGUUGUCUU
rnacentral:lncRNA from 1 species